rnacentral:rRNA from 1 species
GAUCAUGGCUCAGGAUGAACGCUAGCUACAGGCUUAACACAUGCAAGUCGAGGGGCAGCAUGGUCUUAGCUUGCUAAGGCUGAUGGCGACCGGCGCACGGGUGAGUAACACGUAUCCAACCUGCCGUCUACUCUUGGCCAGCCUUCUGAAAGGAAGAUUAAUCCAGGAUGGCAUCAUGAGUUCACAUGUCCGCAUNAGGGGUUAAAGUAUUUUCCGGUAGACGAG